rnacentral:misc_RNA from 1 species
GAUGAAGAACGCAUCGAAAUGCGAUAAGUAAUGUGAAUUGCAGAAUUCAGUGAAUCAUCGAAUCUUUGAACGCACCUUGCGCCCUUUGGCCAUUCCGAAGGGCAUGCCUGUUUGAGUAUCAUGAACACCUCAACUCUCAUGGCUCGCCAUGAUGAGCUUGGAUUUGGGGGUCUUGCUGGCCUGUGGUCGGCUCCUCUCAAAUGGAUCAGCUUGCCAGUGUUUGGUGGCAUCACAGGUGUGAUAACUAUCUGCGCUUGUGGUUUUCCAUCAGAUAACCUUCAGUGAUGGAGGUUCGCUGGAGCUCAUAAACGUCUCCCCUAAGCGGGGACAGCCCUUUGAAUGUUUGAUCUCAAAUCAGGUAGGACUACCCGCUGAACUUAAGCAUAUCAAUAAGCGGAGGA